rnacentral:pre_miRNA from 1 species
UCUUCAAUUCGCAUACUAUCUCGCCGGUUAGAGAAACGAGAGAGCAUGCGAAAUGAAGAGA